UUGAAAGGGAAACGAUUGAAGUCAGUCGUACCUGUGGGUAAUCAGCCUUUUGGGUGUGAUUAUGUGGAGUGUGAAGAGUUAAACGCCUUUAUCCCUGCAUAUUCGUGCACUUUGGGUGUAUUUACCCGUGUGGUAAGUUAACAUCAAUUUUGGUCGUCAUAGAAUGGCUGGAGGAAUGUAGCUUCGAUCUCGUAUUGAAGUGUUAUAGCUUCGGUAGAUGUGGUGAUCGGGAUUGAGGAUUGCAACGAUACCUUCGGGGCUAACCCGUUAGAUCAAAUUGAUGGUGGAUGGGUCACAUCGUUAAGGAUGUUGACGUA
rnacentral:rRNA from 1 species